CUCCACACCUCCCUGCAAGCUGAGGGAGCCGGCUCCGGCCUCGGCCAGCCCAGGAAGGGGCUCCCACAGUGCAGCGGCGGGCUGAAGGGCUCCUGAAGUGCCACCAAAGUGGGAGCCCAGGCAGAGGAGGCGCCGAGAGCCAGCGAGGGCUGCCUGCUAGCACGCUGUCACCUCUCAGCAAUAGACUGCUCUUCAGGCUGGAGUGCAAUGUUGUUAUCAUAGCUCACUGCAACCUGGAACCCCUGGUCUCAAGAGAUCCUCCACCCUCAGCCUCCCUGGGAUGGCUAUUUUUGUUACUUCUGAAUUCUACUACAAAAGAGUGCUGCAAUAAAAAUCUUUGAAAAAAUUCUAAUGCCGUUAAACUGGAAUUGAAGUUUUCAAUCGUUGGAUAUGUCAAAAUUUAAUCAGAUUGCAUAUUGCUCAAUUACUUUCAAAUUAUGUAGAAGUCAUUCUUGCUCUGGCAAAAUAAGAAUAUUUUCAUUAAUAUAUCAUUCAACUUGAAAUUGCCCAGCUUUUCCUUCUCAUUUACCCCCAGUCAAAUGAGUUGAUAUAAUACUGUCUAAAAAUAUAUAUUCAUUUGCUUACCUGUUAGUAUUUGUUCCAUGUAUUAAGAAGCUUUGCUAGUAUAUGAAAAUAUAUGUAUUACCAUGUCUUGUGAAUUAGUACUUUUAUCAUUUUGAAAUGUUUGUUUUCAUUUCUGCUGACCGUUCUAACCUGGGUAUCUAUUUUGACUGGUUUCUAAUGUAACUACUAACAUCUUUUUAUGUUCAACACUUUUGCACCAUUUUAUUUUCAAUGCCUUUAUUUUUAAAAUGUAUCUUCUGUAGAUAGUGUACAGGUGGUCUUGUUUUACUGUAAAUCAAGUGACAAUCUCUAUUUCAUAAUUGACAUAUUUAAUCCAUAUAUAUUUAAUUUGAUUGUUGUUAUUUUGAGACUUAAUAUCCAGUUUUACUAUUUUGGCCCAUUUAUUUUUGGUUUGUUUGUUUUAGAUGUCUUGCCUUAUCUUAGAUUGAUUGAUAUUUUUAGUAUUUAAUUACAUUUCUCUUAUUAGCUAAAUUUCUUGAAUAUUUGUUUUUAUUUUAGCAAUUGCUCUGGGAAUAUAAAAAUCAUCUUUAAAAUCUAUUUAGAGUUAAUGGUACUACUUUAUGCAGUAGGUAAAAACAUUUCACUAGCACAAUUUCAUUUGCAGGCACCUAGCCUUCUGUGAUAGUAUUGUCUUAUAUUGUUACAUUUAUGAGAUACAAUCGCCACAGUAAAGUACUAUUUUCUAUUUAUUGUGCCAUCUUAUAAAUAAACAGAUGAAUAAACAGAUAUUUUUGA
rnacentral:lncRNA from 1 species